rnacentral:lncRNA from 1 species
UCUUCCACACACUCACUUUGCAUAAAUCCUUCAAAUAAUCUGUCAAAAGAGGAACAUCAUUUACAAUAGGAAAAAGAAAAACAGAACCAAUAAUUAAAGAAAAGAUAAAAAGGGAUAUCUACACAUGCAGUGCAGCUUCAAAACAAAACUUAGAAACAAUAAGCAUAAUAGUACUGGUCUAGCUAACAUGUCACAUAGACACUACAAUCAACCACCUCAGAUAAGAGAGCCUUCAACUUCUGAAGUUAUUUGUAUGAUUGCCGAGAGAUAUCAUAAGGUAUCAUGAGACAAGCAAAGUAAAACAGGGGAAAUCAUAAGGUAUCAUGAGAGAUCAAAACAUAUUAUCAAAUAUUAUCGGUGGAAAAUGAAUUAAUGAAACUUGAUCAAAACAAUGUUGCUCAUCAAGGCAUGUGGUUAUCAUAUGUCAAAACCAAUCCAAUAAUCAAUAAACCAUCUUCCCACAUUCUAAAUUUAAUUCACCUAGAUUUUCAUAUCAAAACGCUUUUUUUUCAAUCAAAACAAGGUUGAAACUUCACUAACCGCUAUCCCAAUUUCAGCAACACACCCGAAACCAACUAUUUUAUUAACAAUUAUUUAGUACAGCAGAGUAUAGUACACGGACACUGAAUAAUUUUUAAACAAGCAGAGUAAGCAAACAACAUGAAGAACAGUAAGAAUCAUAAUGUAAAACCAAAAAAUCCCUAAACUUUUGAUAGAUAGCUAGUGAUCUAAGAAUAUUAAAUCCAAAAGCAAAACCUACAGAUUUUGAGAAAUACCAAAUGAAAAUCGUAGAAAUAUAAAGGAAGAUGAGUGGAGGAAGAAGAAAACCAUUGUUGUCGUUCGAAAUCUGACCAUAACGCCCAAAACAUCUUCAAAUAUGUGUUCGACCGAACUUUCUAUUCUCCUCUUAGCUUACGCGGCAUCAAUUCUUGCAUUCCUGGAUGUUUUAGGGUUUAAGAGAUUAAAAGGAAAGGGCAUACUAAUAGAAAAACUGUAAACUCAGAAAACCUAGAUCUAUUGUUUAACGAGAAAAGAGAGAAAACCUGAACCAUCAGCGUUGUCAUGUCCCAUCGCGUAUUCGGUUGUAUUUGCCGUUAAUGUUCCAAUCAAGCUUCGAAAANNN